rnacentral:rRNA from 1 species
CCUACGGGCGGCAGCAGUGGGGAAUAUUGGACAAUGGGCGAAAGCCUGAUCCAGCCAUGCCGCGUGUGUGAAGAAGGCCUUCGGGUUGUAAAGCACUUUCAGUGGGGAAGAAAGCCUUGGGGCUAAUACCCUCGAGGAAGGACAUCACCCACAGAAGAAGCACCGGCUAACUCCGUGCCAGCAGCCGCGGUAAUACGGAGGGUGCGAGCGUUAAUCGGAAUUACUGGGCGUAAAGCGCGCGUAGGCGGUCUGAUAAGCCGGUUGUGAAAGCCCCGGGCUCAACCUGGGAACGGCAUCCGGACCGGUCGGGCGAGGUGGCAGGAGGGGAAGUAAAAAUUCCCGUGGUGGCGGUGAAAGGGUUAGAGAUCGGAGGGAAAACCGGGGGCGAAGGCGGCUUCUGGACCUGAAACGGCCGCGGAGUGGCGAAGCCGGGGUUGGCAACCAGAAUUGGAAACCGUGUAGUC